GGGUUGUUAGUAAAACCAUUACAUAGCCUUGUCAAGACUAAAUCGCAGGUGAAACCCCAGCACACCCCA
rnacentral:tRNA from 1 species